CUACGGGUUGCACCAGCUAAGAAUCUUCCGCAAUGGGUGAAAGCCUGACGGAGCGACGCCGCGUGUGUGAUGAAGGCCGUGAGGUUGUAAAACACUUUUGUUACAGAAGAAUAAUAGUGGUAGGGAAUGACCAUUAGAUGACGUUAUGUAACGAAUAAGCCCCGGCUAAUUACGUGCCAGCGAGCCGCGGUAACACGUAAGGGGCAAGCGUUGUUCGGAUUUAUUGGGCGUAAAGGGCGCGUAGGCGGUUUGCCAAGCCUGAUGUGAAAGACCCCGGCUCAACCGGGGGGACGCGUUGGGAACUGGCAGGCUAGAGUAUAGGAGGGGUAGUUGGAAUUCCAGGUGUAGGGGUGAAAUCUGUAGAUAUCUGGAAGAACACCGGUGGCGAAGGCGAACUACUGGCCAUAUACUGACGCUGAGGCGCGAAAGUGUGGGGAGCGAACAGGAUUAGAUACCCUGGUAGUC
rnacentral:rRNA from 1 species